AUUGAACGCUGGCGGCAUGCCUUACACAUGCAAGUCGAGCGGAUGACGGGAGCUUGCUCCUUGAUUCAGCGGCGGACGGGUGAGUAAUGCCUAGGAAUCUGCCUGGUAGUGGGGGACAACGUUUCGAAAGGAACGCUAAUACCGCAUACGUCCUACGGGAGAAAGCAGGGGACCUUCGGGCCUUGCGCUAUCAGAUGAGCCUAGGUCGGAUUAGCUAGUUGGUGGGGUAAUGGCUCACCAAGGCGACGAUCCGUAACUGGUCUGAGAGGAUGAUCAGUCACACUGGAACUGAGACACGGGCCAGACUCCUACGGGAGGAAGCAGUGGGGAAUAUUGGACAAUGGGCGAAAGCCUGAUCCAGCCAUGCCGCGUGUGUGAAGAAGGUCUUCGGAUUGUAAAGCACUUUAAGUUGGGAGGAAGGGCAGUAAGCUAAUACCUUGCUGUUUUGACGUUACCGACAGAAUAAGCACCGGCUAACUCUGUGCCAGCAGCCGCAGUAACAC
rnacentral:rRNA from 1 species